AUUGAACGCUGGCGGCAGGCCUAACACAUGCAAGUCGAGCGGAGCGGCGGACGGGUGAGUAAUGCCUAGGAAUCUGCCUGGUAGUGGGGGAUAACGUCCGGAAACGGGCGCUAAUACCGCAUACUAUCAGAUGAGCCUAGGUCGGAUUAGCUAGUUGGUGGGGUAAAGGCCUACCAAGGCUACGAUCCGUAACUGGUCCGAGAGGGUGAUCAGUCACACUGGAACUGGGACACGGUCCAGACGCCUACGGGGUGCAGCAGUGGGGAAUAUUGGACAAUGGGCGAAGGCCUGAUCCAGCCAUGCCGCGUGUAUGAAGAAGGCCUUCGGGUUGUAAAGUACUUUCAGCGGGGAGGCGUUACCCGCAGAAGAAGCACCGGCUAACUUCGUGCCAGCCGCCGCGGUAAUUC
rnacentral:rRNA from 1 species